UGGGGAAUAUUGGACAAUGGGCGAAAGCCUGAUCCAGCCAUGCCGCGUGUGUGAAGAAGGUCUUCGGAUUGUAAAGCACUUUAAGUUGGGAGGAAGGGCAUUAACCUAAUACGUUAGUGUUUUGACGUUACCGACAGAAUAAGCACCGGCUAACUCUGUGCCAGCAGCCGCGGUAAUACAGAGGGUGCAAGCGUUAAUCGGAAUUACUGGGCGUAAUGUGCGCGUAGGUGGUUUGUUAAGUUGGAUGUGAAAUCCCCGGGCUCAACCUGGGAACUGCAUUCAAAACUGACUGACUAGAGUAUGGUAGAGGGUGGUGGAAUUUCCUGUGUAGCGGUGAAAUGCGUAGAUAUAGGAAGGAACACCAGUGGCGAAGGCGACCACCUGGACUAAUACUGACACUGAGGUGCGAAAGCGUGGGGAGCAAACA
rnacentral:rRNA from 1 species